rnacentral:lncRNA from 1 species
AUCAAUCAACUAAACAUAGAUCUAAACAUGGAUUUAACAAUUCUCGCCAAGCAAGUGUUUUACUCAAUCACUCAAGUGUUUAGGGAGGUCACUCUACUCUCUACUGCUCACAUGUCACAUAAAACAAUAUUGUCAUUCAUCUAAAACAAUUAACAUCUUUCACAUGCAUAUGUCAUCACAAGGACUUUUUCCAAGGCUUGUAUUGUGGCUGGGCUAACAAGAAAAUUGGUUUUUCUGGAAUACAAAAUCCUUGAGUUAAGAGAGUUUAAAUCAUUAUUCAAAGUUCAAGCACACUCUCUUUUUAACCAAUCUCACUCAUUCCCACCUUUUCCCAUUUACAUUGAGUUAUUUUUAACAUGCAUAAACUCUUUUCUUCUUUUCUUUUCUUUUUCACAUGCAUUUUUCUUUUUCAUCUUUUGAACUCAAUGCUUUUCUUUUUCUUUUCUUUUGCCUUUCACUUUCCCCAUUCCACCCCA